rnacentral:rRNA from 1 species
AUGCAGCACGGCGACGGGCGGAGGUACCGUUGCAAGACAUGCAACUACGACCUCCACAUAUGCUGCGCCCUCCUCCGACAGCGCCCAAACCCUGUCGGCUGCAAGCUCACCUUCUUCCUCAAGCCCCCCGCCUCCCCAACCGGUCCCAGGCGCUGCAACGCUUGUGACGAUAAGGUGCUUGGCUUCGUGUACCACAACCGCGAGCUCGACAUCGACCUCCACCCGGCCUGCGCUUUCCUGCCGAAGCGCAUAGUCAUGGAUGGCCACCCGUUCGACCUCCACACGAAAGCGGAGCCGUCCCGUAUUUGCGGGCUGUGCGACCAGAACGACCCCCUCAACAAGAGGUGGUCCUACUGUUCCCACGACGACCACGGCGAGCAUGUGUACCUACACGUGAAGUGCCUGAAGGACAAGUCCCGCAGCGGCGCCGGUCUGGUAGAGCGAGCCGCGGUGACACAGAACUUGCCGGCCACGACCAACGGCCACCAGACUGUGAAAGCGAGGGCGCCAACGCCACAAAUGUACGUGCCGCAUAAGAGCAACGCCGGCCAGACUAUGAAAGCGAGGGCGCCAACGGCACAGAAGUACGUGCCGCCCAAGAGCAACGCCAGCCAGACUGUGAAAGCAACGGCGCCAACAGGGCAGGGCAUGCAGUUGCAAAACGUGCCAGCCGGGAGGACCGGCAGGUUCAGGCGUGUCUUGAAGUUUGCCAAGAUCCUCGCAAGGAUCACCUACGCGCUCCUCACUGGGGAUCCAACUGCGAUUUUCAUGUUGGUUCCUGUCGUCAGUGGACUUUUUCGCAACUAA